GUAUUGUAAUUUCAUGAUGCAGCAUUAAUGGAACUGCAUGAAAAGAUAUUCUUGAAACGGCAUGUCAAAGAUGGUGAAAGCCCAAUGGGUUCAUGUGCUUUCUGUGCACGGUCUGCAUUUGGUGAUUCACAUUCCUUGGCAAUGGAAUGCAAACAGGUGGUAAAUUCCAUCCAAUGUAACAAUAUAACAUUGAGUCUGAUAACAAACAAGUACCAUGAGGGAAAUAUGAAAAGGACUUUGGAAAGAGAAUUAAAAGAGUUUGCAUUUGCUUGGCAUAAAACAAAUUAAUGUUGUCAUGGCCAAAAGAUUGUUGCAUUCCUGGGUGUGUGCCAACAUUGCUCAGCAAGUGUAAUGCUUCUUUCCCCAACAAAGCUGUUGCAUUCAUGGAUCAUUCUUGUUUGGUGCUGGCAAUAUGUGUUGCAUAGUGGUGCUCUGUUUGCAUUUCUGAUUUCUGAUGUU
rnacentral:rRNA from 1 species